rnacentral:rRNA from 1 species
AUUGAACGCUGGCGGCAGGCCUAACACAUGCAAGUCGAACGAGUGGCGGACGGGUGAGUAAUGUCUGGGAAACUGCCCGAUGGAGGGGGAUAACUACUGGAAACGGUAGCUAAUACCGCAUACCAUCGGAUUUGCCCAGAUGGGAUUAGCUUGUAGGUGAGGUAACGGCUCACCUAGGCGACGCUCCCUAGCUGGUCUGAGAGGAGGACCAGCCACACUGGAACUAUGAAACGGUCCAGACUCCUACGGGAGGCAGCCGUGGGGAAUAGUGCACAAUGGGCGCAAGCCUGCUGCAGCCAUGCCGGGGAGAUGAAGAAGGCCUUCGGGUUGUAAAGUACGUUCAUCGGGGAGGCGUUACCCGCAGAAGAAGCACCGGCUAACUCCGUGCCAGCAGCCGCGGUAAUAC